rnacentral:rRNA from 1 species
GGUUAAGCGACUAAGCGUACACGGUGGAUGCCCUGGCAGUCAGAGGCGAUGAAGGACGUGCUAAUCUGCGAUAAGCGUCGGUAAGGUGAUAUGAACCGUUAUAACCGGCGAUUUCCGAAUGGGGAAACCCAGUGUGAUUCGUCACACUAUCAUUAACUGAAUCCAUAGGUUAAUGAGGCGAACCGGGGGAACUGAAACAUCUAAGUACCCCGAGGAAAAGAAAUCAACCGAGAUUCCCCCAGUAGCGGCGAGCGAACGGGGAGCAGCCCAGAGCCUGAAUCAGUGUGUGUGUUAGUGGAAGCGUCUGGAAAGGCGCGCGAUACAGGGUGACAGCCCCGUACACAAAAAUGCACAUGCUGUGAGCUCGAUGAGUAGGGCGGGACACGUGGUAUCCUGUCUGAAUAUGGGGGGACCAUCCUCCAAGGCUAAAUACUCCUGACUGACCGAUAGUGAACCAGUACCGUGAGGGAAAGGCGAAAAGAACCCCGGCGAGGGGAGUGAAAAAGAACCUGAAACCGUGUACGUACAAGCAGUGGGAGCACAGAGCAAUCUGUGUGACUGCGUACCUUUUGUAUAAUGGGUCAGCGACUUAUAUUCUGUAGCAAGGUUAACCGAAUAGGGGAGCCGAAGGGAAACCGAGUCUUAACUGGGCGUUAAGUUGCAGGGUAUAGACCCGAAACCCGGUGAUCUAGCCAUGGGCAGGUUGAAGGUUGGGUAACACUAACUGGAGGACCGAACCGACUAAUGUUGAAAAAUUAGCGGAUGACUUGUGGCUGGGGGUGAAAGGCCAAUCAAACCGGGAGAUAGCUGGUUCUCCCCGAAAGCUAUUUAGGUAGCGCCUCGUGAAUUCAUCUCCGGGGGUAGAGCACUGUUUCGGCAAGGGGGUCAUCCCGACUUACCAACCCGAUGCAAACUGCGAAUACCGGAGAAUGUUAUCACGGGAGACACACGGCGGGUGCUAACGUCCGUCGUGAAGAGGGAAACAACCCAGACCGCCAGCUAAGGUCCCAAAGUCAUGGUUAAGUGGGAAACGAUGUGGGAAGGCCCAGACAGCCAGGAUGUUGGCUUAGAAGCAGCCAUCAUUUAAAGAAAGCGUAAUAGCUCACUGGUCGAGUCGGCCUGCGCGGAAGAUGUAACGGGGCUAAACCAUGCACCGAAGCUGCGGCAGCGACGCUUAUGCGUUGUUGGGUAGGGGAGCGUUCUGUAAGCCUGUGNNNNNNNNNNNNNNNNNNNNNNNNNNNNNNNNNNNNNNNNNNNNNNNNNNNNNNNNNNNNNNNNNNNNNNNNNNNNNNNNNNNNNNNNNNNNNNNNCGUGGAGCUGAAAUCAGUCGAAGAUACCAGCUGGCUGCAACUGUUUAUUAAAAACACAGCACUGUGCAAACACGAAAGUGGACGUAUACGGUGUGACGCCUGCCCGGUGCCGGAAGGUUAAUUGAUGGGGUUAGCGCAAGCGAAGCUCUUGAUCGAAGCCCCGGUAAACGGCGGCCGUAACUAUAACGGUCCUAAGGUAGCGAAAUUCCUUGUCGGGUAAGUUCCGACCUGCACGAAUGGCGUAAUGAUGGCCAGGCUGUCUCCACCCGAGACUCAGUGAAAUUGAACUCGCUGUGAAGAUGCAGUGUACCCGCGGCAAGACGGAAAGACCCCGUGAACCUUUACUAUAGCUUGACACUGAACAUUGAGCCUUGAUGUGUAGGAUAGGUGGGAGGCUUUGAAGUGUGGACGCCAGUCUGCAUGGAGCCGACCUUGAAAUACCACCCUUUAAUGUUUGAUGUUCUAACGUGGACCCGUAAUCCGGGUUGCGGACAGUGUCUGGUGGGUAGUUUGACUGGGGCGGUCUCCUCCUAAAGAGUAACGGAGGAGCACGAAGGUUGGCUAAUCCUGGUCGGACAUCAGGAGGUUAGUGCAAUGGCAUAAGCCAGCUUGACUGCGAGCGUGACGGCGCGAGCAGGUGCGAAAGCAGGUCAUAGUGAUCCGGUGGUUCUGAAUGGAAGGGCCAUCGCUCAACGGAUAAAAGGUACUCCGGGGAUAACAGGCUGAUACCGCCCAAGAGUUCAUAUCGACGGCGGUGUUUGGCACCUCGAUGUCGGCUCAUCACAUCCUGGGGCUGAAGUAGGUCCCAAGGGUAUGGCUGUUCGCCAUUUAAAGUGGUACGCGAGCUGGGUUUAGAACGUCGUGAGACAGUUCGGUCCCUAUCUGCCGUGGGCGCUGGAGAACUGAGGGGGGCUGCUCCUAGUACGAGAGGACCGGAGUGGACGCAUCACUGGUGUUCGGGUUGUCAUGCCAAUGGCACUGCCCGGUAGCUAAAUGCGGAAGAGAUAAGUGCUGAAAGCAUCUAAGCACGAAACUUGCCCCGAGAUGAGUUCUCCCUGACUCCUUGAGAGUCCUGAAGGAACGUUGAAGACGACGACGUUGAUAGGCCGGGUGUGUAAGCGCAGCGAUGCGUUGAGCUAACCGGUACUAAUGAACCGUGAGGCUUAACCUU